CUACGGAGGGUCCAAGCGUUAUCGGGAAUCAUUGGGUUUAAAGGGUGCGCAGGCGGUUUAUUAAGUCAGUGGAGAAAUCUCGGGGCUCAACCUCGAAACUGCCAUUGAUACUGAUAAACUUGAGUUCAGUUGGAGUAGGCGGAAUGUGUAGUGUAGCGGUGAAAUGCUUAGAUAUUACACAGAACACCGAUAGCGAAGGCAGCUUACUAAACUGAUACUGACGCUGAGGCACGAAAGCGUGGGGAGCGAACAGGAUUAGAAACCCUAGUAGUCC
rnacentral:rRNA from 1 species